rnacentral:lncRNA from 1 species
CCGAUCAUUCACAAGCAGUUCAUCGCUCGUUCUCCCACGCAUCCAUUCCAUUGCCCACACUGCUUAUAUAUUCAUCUCUCGGACGUACGCCCGUAUACACGCGUUGCCGUCCGUCGUCAAGUCGCUGGCCGCUCGUCGUCCACUGCCUCGCUUGAUUCCGGCCGCUCAACAUAUGCACCAUCGUACGCGUCUUUCUUGUGCUGGCGUAGGCAAAGCACCGGUGUGUCUUCAGGGCUGUUGCGGCACUUCGAUCGGCUAAUCCUAUUGUCAAGGUGAGAAACAAGGCAAGCUGAAGGCCUUCCCCUACCACUCCGU